UUAAAUAGACCGCCUGGGGAGUACGGCCGCAAGGUUAAAACUCAAAUGAAUUGACGGGGGCCCGCACAAGCGGUGGAGCAUGUGGUUUAAUUCGAUGCAACGCGAAGAACCUUACCUGGUCUUGACAUCCACAGAACUUGGCAGAGAUGCCUUGGUGCCUUCGGGAACUGUGAGACAGGUGCUGCAUGGCUGUCGUCAGCUCGUGUUGUGAAAUGUUGGGUUAAGUCCCGCAACGAGCGCAACCCUUAUCCUUUGUUGCCAGCGGUCCGGCCGGGAACUCAAAGGAGACUGCCAGUGAUAAACUGGAGGAAGGUGGGGAUGACGUCAAGUCAUCAUGGCCCUUACGACCAGGGCUACACACGUGCUACAAUGGCAUAUACAAAGAGAAGCGACCUCGCGAGAGCAAGCGGACCUCAUAAAGUAUGUCGUAGUCCGGAUUGGAGUCUGCAACUCGACUCCAUGAAGUCGGAAUCGCUAGUAAUCGUGGAUCAGAAUGCCACGGUGAAUACGUUCCCGGGCCUUGUACACACCGCCCGUCACACCAUGGGAGUGGGUUGCAAAAGAAGUAGGUAGCUUAACCUUCGGGAGGGCGCUUACCACUUUGUGAUUCAUGACUGGGGUGAAGUCGUAACAAGGUAACCGUAGGGGAACCUGCGGUUGGAUCACCUCCUUA
rnacentral:rRNA from 1 species